rnacentral:rRNA from 1 species
AACGAACGCUGGCGGCGUGCCUAACACAUGCAAGUCGUACGAGAAAAUCCGCUUCGGCGGGUGAGUAAAGUGGCGCACGGGUGAGUAACGCGUGGAUAAUCUGCCUUUAAGCUGGGAAUAACUCACCGAAAGGUGGGCUAAUACCCGAUAAUGCUAUGGAGCUUCGGUUUUAUAGCCAAAGAGAGCCUCUACAUGUAAGCCCUCACUUAAAGAUGAGUCCGCGUACCAUUAGCUAGUUGGUAGGGUAAUGGCCUACCAAGGCGACGAUGGUUAGCUGGUCUGAGAGGAUGAUCAGCCACACUGGAACUGAGACACGGUCCAGACUCCUACGGGAGGCAGCAGUGAGGAAUAUUGCGCAAUGGGGGCAACCCUGACGCAGCAACGCCGCGUGAGUGAGGAAGGUUUUCGGAUCGUAAAGCUCUGUCGGGUGGGAAGAAAUGUACGGGGGUUAAUAGCCUUUGUACUUGACGGUACCGCCAAAGGAAGCACCGGCUAACUCCGUGCCAGCAGCCGCAGUAACAC